rnacentral:lncRNA from 1 species
CAGGUUUGCCUAAGGGUUGGGAGAUGGAUUCUGCCCCGGAAGGAGCCGUAUACUUCAUCAAUCCAAACAAUUAGAUCAGUCCCGCCCUCUGGAGCGGCUACCGUGAUAUCACAGAGUUGCCAUAACAACAGACUAUGAGGUCAACAUUAUGCCCGGGUGCUGCAAAACGAAGCACCUUGGUUAGCAAGGAACCUGUCUCUGAAGAGAAGCCUGUAGAAAGCCGAGGAGCUGAAACUUUGCAUCACAGCAUCUUGGCUGUUUAAGAUGACAUUGAGCCUGGGUCCUCCUCUGCUGGGAU